rnacentral:rRNA from 1 species
UGAGUAACGCGUGAGGAACCUGCCUUCCAGAGGGGGACAACAGUUGGAAACGACUGCUAAUACCGCAUGAUGCGUUGGAGCCGCAUGACUCCGACGUCAAAGAUUUAUCGCUGGAAGAUGGCCUCGCGUCUGAUUAGCUAGUUGGUGAGGUAACGGCCCACCAAGGCAACGACCAGUAGCCGGACUGAGAGGUUGGCCGGCCACAUUGGGACUGAGAUACGGCCCAGACUCCUACGGAAGGCAGCAG